rnacentral:rRNA from 1 species
UACAUGGGGUGCAAACGUUGCUCGGAAUUAUUGGGCGUAAAGCGCACGUAGGCGGUUCGUUAAGUCGGAUGUGAAAGCCCUCGGCUCAACUGAGGAAGUGCACCCGAAACUGGCGAGCUUGAGUACGAAAGAGGAUCGCGGAAUUCCCGGUGUAGAGGUGAAAAUUCGUAGAUAUCGGGAGGAACACCGGUGGCGAAGGCGGCGAUCUGGGUCGAUACUGACGCUGAGGAGCGAAAGCGUGGGGAGCGAACAGG